GAUGAACGCUGGCGGCGUGCCUAAAACAUGCAAGUCGAGCGGCAACAGGCCUUCGGGUGCUGGCGAGCGGCGGACGGGUGAGUAACGCGUGGGAAUGUACCCCAAAGUGAGGAAUAAUUCCGGGAAACCGGGACUAAUACCGCAUAAUCUCUUCGGAGCAAAGCUUUAUGCGCUUUGGGAACAGCCUGCGUCUGAUUAGCUAGUUGGUGAGGUAAUGGCCCACCAAGGCGACGAUCAGUAGCUGGUUUGAGAGGAUGAUCAGCCACACUGGGACUGAGACACGGCCCAGACUCCUACGGGAGGCAGCAGUUAGGAAUUUUCCACAAUGGGGGCAACCCUGAUGGAGCGACGCCGCGUGCAGGAUGAAGGCCUUCGGGUUGUAAACUGCUUUUAUCUGUGACGAUUAUGACGGUAACAGAUGAAUAAGGGUCUGCUAACUACGUGCCAGCCGCCGCGGUAAAAC
rnacentral:rRNA from 1 species